rnacentral:lncRNA from 1 species
AUGUGACACAGGGGUGCGCGUGGGUUGGCCGCGACCUGUGAGGAUGGAAGCCUUUGCCGCAGGGAUGAUGCUUUCUGCAAACUGCGAGGGACCUGAUGGCGUGCUCGACUCUAGGUCCUGGGGCUCUUUCUCCUCUGGUUAUGGUCCUCAUCAUCUCCCAGGAGCGUUUCCUGGCUUCAGAGUGCCAACUGGGUCGGAGCAGAGGAACCUGGACACCGGAUGCCUCUGGAUUCAGGAAUCUGAGAUUCAGAACACCACGGGGGUAAGGGGAGGCAGAGGAGGAGGAUGGGGUAUAGAAAGAAACCAGCGGAGAAGGGCCAGGCUUGCGCAGUGAGGUACAUAAAAGCUCAAGUCAAUCACAGGGUGAAGACUGGGAAAUUUUUGUGCUGAAGACAAGUGUGAAGGAAAGAAUUUUUUUUCUUUCCUAUUUUUAUAAAGAAAUCAUUAAAGAGUUUAGAGGGGUCCUGAGGUCCUGAACAUUGAGUCAAAGGUUUGAAUAACUUCGUUUUUCGUUUUGUUUUGUUUGAGACAGAGUCUCCCUAAGUUGCUUAGGGCCCCAUAAGUUGCUGAGACUGGCCUCGAACUUGCA